rnacentral:rRNA from 1 species
AGAAUUGAUCUGGUCAGGACGAACGCUGGCGGCGUGCUUAACACAUGCAAGUCGAACGGGGAUAUUCAGAUGAGAGCUCGGCAGGAAUCGGAGAUAUUCGAGUGGCGGACGGGUGAGUAACGCGUGAGCAACCUGUCCCAGACAGGGGGAUAACACUUGGAAACAGGUGCUAAUACCGCAUAAGACCACGGAGUCGCAUGGCUAUGGGGUAAAAGGAGCAAUCCGGUUUGGGGUGGGCUCGCGUCCGAUUAGAUAGUUGGUGAGGUAACGGCCCACCAAGUCGACGAUCGGUAGCCGACCUGAGAGGGUGAUCGGCCACAUUGGAACUGGGAGACGGUCCAAACUCCUACGGGAGGCAGCAGUGGGGAAUAUUGGGCAAUGGGCGAAAGCCUGAACCCCAGCAACGCCGCGUGAGUGAAGAAGGCCUUCGGGUUGUAAUGCUCUGUUAUAGUUGACGAAGGAAGUGACGGUAGGCUAUAAGGAAGCCCCGGCUAACUACGUGCCAGCAGCGGC